AACGCACGAGACCUGCGGACCUGCGGAAGGAUCAUUACCGAGUUCUCGCCCCUCGCGGGGUAGACCUCCCACCCACUGUGAUCACUACCGUCGUUGCUUUGGCGGGCCGCUGGGCCCAGCCCACCGCCGGCUCCGGCUGGCGCGUGCCCGCCAGAGGCCCUACAAACGCUGGAUAUCAGUGCCGUCUGAGUACACAUGUUAAUCGUUAAAACUUUCAGCAAUGGAUCUCUAGAUCGGAAG
rnacentral:misc_RNA from 1 species